UCUACGCAGCACACUUUACUUUACAGCUAUGUUAAUUUGUCCUUGUACAAGUACUUUGUUGUUGUUGACGAUAUAUGGGACGUGGAUACAUGGGAUACUGUUAAGCGUGCAUUCCCCGCUACAAGUUCUACCAGUAGAAUAAUCACCACCACUCGUAUGAACAGUGUCGCUCAUUUAUGUUGUUCAUCAUUCAAUGGUCAUAUUUACAAUAUAAGGGCUCUUGAUAUGAUGCACUCAAGACAGUUAUUUCACACAAGAUUAUUUAAGUCCGAUGAAGAUUUCCCUUCAUACCUUCAAGAAAUUGCUGAGCAUACAUUGGAAAAAUGCGAUGGAUUACCUUUGGCGGUCAUUACUAUAUCUGGUUUGUUGGCUAACACAGAAAGAACAGAAAAUAUAUGGAAUCAAGUAAAAGAUUCAAUUGGCCGUGCACUUGAAAGGAAUCCCAGCGUCGAGGGAAUGAUGAAGAUUUUGUCACUUAGUUACUUUGAUCUUCCUGCUUAUCUAAAAACUUGCCUCUUAUACCUAAGCAUAUAUCUUGAAGAUUCUACUAUUGAGAAGAAGGACCUGGUAAGAAGAUGGAUUGCUGAAGGAUUCAUUCAUGGAGAUGGUAGAUACACGGCAUAUGAGUUAGGAGAAAGGUAUCUUAAUGAACUACUCAAUAGGGGUUUGAUCCAACCUGGAAACAGAAAUAUGUAUGGCGUGGUGAACAGUUGUUGCGUUCAUGACACAAUUCUUGGUUUCAUCAUAUUCAAGUCCAUAGAAGAGAACUUUGUUACUUUACUUGGUGUUCCCAUUCUGACAAUUGGGAAACAAAGUACAGUUGUUCAUCGACUCUAUCUACAAGGUGUCGAGGAAGGAAAUUCAGCGGUAGCAAACCUCGUGCUUUCCCAUGUCAGAUCAAUUAUUGUGGUUAGAGGUCUGUUGGCAAUCCCUUCUUUGGAGGAGUUCAGACAUCUGCGUGUUCUCAACUUGAAGGAUUGCUCCCAAUUGGAAGAUCAUCAUCUUGAAAAUAUAGUGAGGUUGUUCCAGCUCAGGUACCUGAAACUCGAAGGUACAAGAAUAAGCAAGCUCCCAGAACAAAUUGGUCGUUUAGGAUGCUUAGAGGUGCUGAACCUAAGAGGGACUUCUAUAAAGGAAUUACCUGCAUCUAUUGUGAAUCUCAAAAAAUGGAUGCAUCUACUUGUUGAUUAUGAUGUUAAAUUUCCUGAUGAGAUUGCAAAGAUGCAAGCACUAGAGACGUUGAAAACUGUCGAUGCCUCCAUUCAGCCAUUAGACUUCCUGUGCGGCCUUGGUCAGCUAAUGAAUUUGAGGAAUCUGCGGAUUGACCUUGAUUGCGAAUUUGAUUCUGACACUGUGGAUACAAAUAUGGUUGGGGAGGAGCACAACAAAGCUAUUGUCUCCUCCCUGUGUAAGCUAGGCACCCAUAAUCUCCAGUCCCUGAAUAUUGGGUUUGGGCGCAGCCUCUUACAUGAGGAAUCUUUGUGCCUGCCUACCCUCGAGGACCUUUCUAUCUGUUUUUCGGCCUUCCCACAGGUUCCUACAUGGGUGGGCUCCCUAAGAAACCUCCAACGGCUAUGCCUUCGUGUGGAGGGGCUCAAGCAGGACGACCUCUCCACCCUUGGGGCUUUACCCAGUCUGCACGUUCUGUAUCUGCUUGGAGAAAUAGAGUCAAACGGAAAGCUCAAAAUCAGUAGUGAAGUUAGGUUCCGAUUCUUGAAGACUUUUAUUUAUGAUGCAUGUUCUGAACCAGUAGAUCUGAUGUUUGGGACAUGCUCCAUUCCAAAGCUAGAAAAACUCGAGCUUAAGUAUAUUCGCAUAGUUGAAGCUAACUCUUUGGGCUUUGGAAUUGAAAACCUCCCUUGCCUCACAAGUGUCAAAUGCAUUUAUGUUGAUGGUGAUGAUGGCAUUGUUGAAGCCGUGAAGACUGUCAUGGAGAGAGGAGCCAGCACACAUCCCAACUACCCUAGUCUACUCUUUGAGAGAUUGGUGUUAGGUUGA
rnacentral:rRNA from 1 species